rnacentral:lncRNA from 1 species
CUGGGCGGGGCCUGCGGGGAGGAAGGGCUGCAGCUCACAGCAACAGAGUUUAGACCCGUCUUUGCUUCAUCAUCUGAAGGUAAAAAAUUUUCCAGCCUCCGCCGGCGGCUCGCAGAGUACAAUAAACAGGGACGCAGAACUGUUUGCAUGGACCUCGCUCGCUCAUGAUGCGGUGGAGAAGCCGCGGCCACUCGGUGCUGCCGGAUGCUCUCGGGGCCACUGUCCAUGGGGAGGACGAGCAGAGCUGAACAAGGGCGUCUGGGGGAGGAAGAAAAGGACAAAGGAGAAAGAGAGGAGCGGACGAAAUAGGUGUCUGGGAGACAUCAUUGUCUAAAGCUGUAAAGAUCCACCCUGAGUUUGACACUGCAAGACUG